GAGGAUGUGGCUCCAUGGUAGAGUGCCUGCCUAGCACAGCAAGGCCUGGCUGGGUUCAAUACCCAGCACCCACU
rnacentral:tRNA from 1 species